CUAAUACCGCAUAAGACCACAGCACCGCAUGGUGCAGGGGUAAAAACUCCGGUGGUACAGGAUGGACCCGCGUCUGAUUAGCUGGUUGGUGAGGUAACGGCUCACCAAGGCGACGAUCAGUAGCCGGCUUGAGAGAGUGAACGGCCACAUUGGGACUGAGACACGGCCCAAACUCCUACGGGAGGCAGCAGUGGGGAAUAUUGCACAAUGGGGGAAACCCUGAUGCAGCGACGCCGCGUGAGUGAAGAAGUAUCUCGGUAUGUAAAGCUCUAUCAGCAGGGAAGAAAAUGACGGUACCUGACUAAGAAGCCCCGGCUAACUACGUGCCAGCAGCCGCGGUAAUACGUAGGGGGCAGGCGUUAUCCGGAAUUACUGGGUGUAAAGGGUGCGUAGGUGGUAUGGCAAGUCAGAAGUGAAAACCCAGGGCUUAACUCUGGGACUGCUUUUGAAACUGUCAGACUGGAGUGCAGGAGAGGUAAGCGGAAUUCCUAGUGUAGCGGUGAAAUGCGUAGAUAUUAGGAGGAACAUCAGUGGCGAAGGCGGCUUACUGGACUGAAACUGACACUGAGGCACGAAAGCGUGGGGAGCAAACAGGAUUAGAUACCCUGGUAGUCCACGCCGUAAAC
rnacentral:rRNA from 1 species